GUUUCCUACGGGGGGCAGCAGUGAGGAAUAUUGGUCAAUGGGAGAGAUCCUGAACCAGCCAAGCCGCGUGAGGGAAGACGGCCCUAUGGGUUGUAAACCUCUUUUGUCGGAGAACAAAACCCGGGACGAGUCCCGGAUUGCGUGUAUCCGAAGAAAAAGCAUCGGCUAACUCCGUGCCAGCAGCCGCGGUAAUACGGAGGAUGCGAGCGUUAUCCGGAUUUAUUGGGUUUAAAGGGUGCGUAGGCGGGUUAUCAAGUCAGCGGUAAAAUCGUGGAGCUCAACUCCAUCCAGCCGUUGAAACUGAU
rnacentral:rRNA from 1 species